rnacentral:lncRNA from 1 species
CUUGAUCUGUGAAUAUUACGGUUCCGCACAGUGAACACGCGACAGCCCUAUUUCCUGCAGCCUGAGCCUGCCCCUCUGCUGUGAGCCUCACGCCAGCAGCAGCUGAACCGCAAAGCUACCAGCUCCUCAGCCCGCGGUAGAAGCGGGUGAUUUGCCUGUCCCAGGCUCUGGACCUUUCCAGCCACAGUGAGGAAAGCAAAUGCUGCCUUCCUUGCACAACCCUCAGGGCUUUCUUGGCGUUUCCCUCCGCUUCACAGCAAACGUCGGCAAGGCAAGCAGAUCUUCUCGCAUUUUGGGGACCAGGUGCCGCGCUGGGCACUGCAGCAAUGGCUCGGGCCCUGACUGAGAAGUGUUCACCUCGGGUUUCACUGGAGCCAGAGUGGCUACAAGUGCUCUUUUCAUGCUAAAGCCAGCAAGGAUCGGGGUCCACGGUCCUUUCAAAGUCUGGAACAAGAGACCAUGGAGGUCCUGCUGGCCAAGGAGCGAACCCAAGUCUCAAAGGGUACACUGGGCCCAGGCCAGGGUUCCUUGCUGCUCUCUUCGAGUCAGUGCAGGGAACUGGACAGAUCCAAACUGUACUGGUGAACAAAUUGUAAAUGGUAACCGGACUCCUCCAUCCAAAUACUCAUUCUCACCUAUACUUUUGAAAGACAAAGAAGCUGUCUUCUUUCUUUCCAAUUUUGCAGGCAGCCUGCCUUCCACAGCUCUCUCCAGUCAUGAGCUCCAACACAGAGGAAUGAUAUGAUGGGAAGAGAGGUCCCUGUCCACCCUGUCCACCAAUCUUGUCACUAACCAACUGGGCGACUGAGUCUCCAUCAUUCCAUCUGUGACAAGACUAAAACCGAACGCUUCAUCUUUCCAAAUCAGUGACGAACAAAUAUUAACAGUCUUUUAUAAACUGUGAUUUCUGUAUAUCAAGAUAGACAAAAUGUAGUUAUAGUCCUCUGAGUUCCUUAGGAAAUUAGUAUUCAGGUCAUCAAUAAUUAACACUUUGGUACACCAUAGAUAUCUGCAUUAAAAAUAAAUUAUAAACUACAUGAGUGCUUAACCAGUGAAGAAUAAUAUCAUAAAUAUUGUGCCUGAUUUGACCAGUAGAAAUGGAGUAGAUGAUUUUUUUAUAUAUUUUGAGAAAAAUUUGUGACACAUUUAAAUUAUACUAUUUUUUGAGGUAGCUGUAAUUUUUAAACUGGUUUUGUCAAAAAUAAAUACAGAAGGAAGCCCAGGGCCUCUUGGCUCAUGUCUAUAAUCUUAACACUCAAAGGCUGAGGCAGGAGGACUAUGUGAGUUUAAGGCCAGCCUGGACUAUAUACUUAAAAACUGCCUCAAAAUAACCACCAAAAAUUAAAAAUAAAAAUGAAUAAAUAAGGAAAUUAAAGCCACUGAUUCCUGUCUGGGAACAGUGUUUUGAUUGCAAUUCUUUUGCAUUCCUGCAUGGCAGCUUGCAGCUGAAAUCCCAGCAGUCUGGGACUGCAAGCCAGGAGGAUCCCAAGUUUGAGCCCAGCCUGGGCAAUUUAAACCACUUAGCAAACCUUAUCGCAAAAUGAACCUAAGAAACGUGGUUACUUGUGGGAAGAUUGGAGAACUGACCAAAAUGGGAAGGGUCUGUGGGAAGCUCCGGAGAGUUAUGUAGUGGGAAAUUUGGAAAAUGACACAUAGCUAAAAGUCAACCUGGAUGCAUUGCCUUAACUGCCACAGUGAUAACAGGUGACACUUUCAACAUUCACUGAAUCAGAAGAGAGGAGGAAAAAAUUGCUUUUUAAGCUCUAAAAUGUGAUGUUCUGAGGAAAGAUUGGAGAUAUGUGAUUCCUGCUGGAAUGAUAGGAGAGACUAGAAAUAGAGCUGCAUACUAAUAUAUGUCCAUAAAACAAUCGAAAUCCAAUUGUUAGUUUCUGUUCUCAGAUCUAACAUAUGUGGUACAAUUUAGGUCAAUUGCUUAAGACAUUUGUUUAGGCCAACCAAAUUGAGUUUUGAGUUUAAAAUCUUUAUCAUCAUCCAAAUGAAUUCAUUUGUGUCUUUUGCUCCCAUAACCAAUGAGAAAGCACUUUGUAAUGUAUUUUAGCAAUAUAUGAAUGUAAGAAAUGGAUGUUGUAAGACUGAAAAACGUUUGCCAGUAAAAAUAUAUUUUACGUGCUUACAAUUUUUGGACAUUUGGAAAGUAAUUUCUUUCUACCUAAUAUUAUUUGAGAAAAUGAGGAGUUCAACUGUGUACGUGGCACUGGUGUAUGCUAUCUUAGUGACAGAAAGUACCACAGAAUGAACUGUCAAGAUGCUAAAAUACAGGACAGAUCAAUAUUAAGGAGUUCAGACAAGCAUUGGAUUUUGAUCACAGAAAUUUGUUCUAGUUGAGAUAUCCCAGAAAGAAAAAUAAAAUAAACAAGCAAGAAUACAUGCUGGUAUGAGUAAAUGGGUCACCAAGUUUUGCAAUUGUCUGCCUUUAGAGUCAGGGAAUGUGUUUUUUCUAACUUGGAAAUUUGAUUCUAACAAUGUUGUUUAGACUGCUCUCUAUUCAGAAAUUUACUGGAUUUUUUGAAGCUGAAAAUAGAUUUCAAAAAUAUUUACAUCUGUACUUUCCAAAUUACCUUUAAUCUUACUGAUGCUCUUAGUUUACUGAAACAGUGUUCUCAUGGCACUGUGGUGUCAUUUAGCAAUUAAAGAAAUACUGUUAGGAACUUAAUACAAGGGCUGGAAACUCCCUUCACUGUCCCCUUUGGUACUGCAGUUCUACAUCAGAAGUAUAUUUGUUUGCCUCCAUGUCUAUAGUUCCAGUAACUUCAGAAAAAGCCGAGGACCACGUGCCUUAGUACCUUAUCAAGUACUCUCAGGACAUAGAAAGGAGCAAACUCACUUUCUGGUUGUUUGGGGAUUACUCUUCUCCCAAUUUGUUCCUGAUAUUUCUCAUAAGCCACGAGAGCACAUAAUCGAAUUAGUUUCUUGGUGGUGACGUGAAAAAUGGUCACUGCACUCAUCUUAACUCCAUAAGGAUAAAGGUCAAGCUAACUCUUAGUAAAAUAAUUCCUGAGUUUCACUGAUGUAAGGGAUUCCAGAGGUUGACAUUUAAAUGUCACUUUCUCUGAAUUAAUCCAUUGACCCAGUGCUAAAAUUUCAUACUCAAGUUCAAUAAUUUGGGAACAGUAUAAAAAUAAAAAAGUUAAUUUCUGGUUAAAGAGAAAAGGAAAACACUUAACAAAUAUCAAAACCUACUCAUGAGUCAAUUGGAAAAAAAAUAAAUUUAUACAAGGCUCUUCCUAUUAAGUUUUGAGCUUAUAUCUCUGAACAAAAAUAUUAUCAAUGUAGUUUUCAUUCAUUGUAGUUCUUUACUAUUUUGCUUUCAUUUCAUCUUAUUAAAUUUUCAUUAGAAUAUAGUCUUUGAGAGAAUACAUAUCAAUUUUUUGU